GUAUGAAAAGUAAUGGGAGCGCUCUGCUGUCUGGAAGACUCUUUCCACUCUAACUCGCCCCCCUCAUGCUGUAGUGUGUCCAUCUCGGUGAAUAUUGUGGGCGUUGGGGUGCUGUCAUCCUCCGCCAGUAUGUGGCGCAGCCGCUCUGCUGCAGGGGAUACUGCAAAACGGAGGCCAAACAAGAGACAGUCAGUUUCAAAUUUCCAUUAAAUUCACAUUUGAGCCACGUCAGAAGCAACAUAUAUAAAACAACCCGAGAAGGACGUGUGCAAAGAUAAAAGCUGCUGAUCUGGGAUUCAGGAACAUGAGACGUUAACAACACUUUGGUCCAGAGAGCAAAAUAACCAACAACAUCCGUCCAGAUCAACAUCCCCAGAGGAUGAACCCUAAUGAGUUUGGUGAUUCCCUGACUUUUCCUCAAGCUCCACCACCAAAUGGGCCAUUCUGCAUAAUGAGUACUUUUACUUUUGGGAAACUGUUUUCUCACCAUCAUCAUCAUCGUAGCGCCUGUGACCUCUACUUCUCCCUCGCUGCCAGUCAUGAUGAUCCAUCCUGAAACAGACAUGCAGAGAGCAGGAAGAGGUUUACUGAGAAAAUGUGGAUGCUGGUGGAGAGAGAAGAAAGAAAGAUGAUCACCGCCUGAAAUGGCCCCUAACACAUCGCACUUUAAUGCUUUCUCCAGUCAGGGAAUCCUCCUGGCCUUACAGUGACUCUGUACUGCGCCAUGUGAGCUGCUGGCCCACAUGGCAACACAUGUGCCACGGCAACCUUAACAGAUCGAUGGCUGACGAGAGGAAAACUCAAUGGAAAACCACAGCAGCCCUUCAGGUCCGGACCGCAGCUCAAACCAUGGAAACACAUAGGAAUUCCCAGCAUUCCCACCAAACUGCUGCUGGACUUUGUGAUCUUAUGUUUUACCUUUGAAAAAUAAUUGUAUGUAUGAUAAAUCGGAUUUCUUUAUACUAUAUUUGCACACCAACCUAGCACCACAGAGAACCUUGAAAACAUUCGUAGAUAUCUCCUCUAGAUUAGUAUAACUUUUCUUAAACUAAGUUUAUUCAGUGAGUUAAAAAAGAACAUACCACAUACCAUAGCUGUAUAUACGGGACAUAUGACUGUUUACAGUUCCUCCUUCACCCUGCAUAAAGGAUUUACAAGUUGUAAUUAAUGGCUUUAUUAUGCCAAAAUGUACUAAUGCUUUAUAUGACUUAUUAGAAACAGUGAGUAUUUAUUAAUGAUUACCAAUAUUUAACUG